rnacentral:rRNA from 1 species
CCUACGGGAGGCUGCAGUGAGGAAUAUUGGUCAAUGGGCGCAAGCCUGAACCAGCCAUGCCGCGUGCAGGAAGACGGCCCUAUGGGUUGUAAACUGCUUUUGUACGGGAAUAAUAACUCCGACGUGUCGGAGGACGAAGGUACCGUACGAAUAAGCAUCGGCUAACUCCGUGCCAGCAGCCGCGGUAAUACGGAGGAUGCAGGCGUUAUCCGGAUUUAUUGGGUUUAAAGGGUGCGCAGGCGGCCCGGUAAGUCAGUGGUGAAAGUUUGCAGCUUAACUGUAAAAUUGCCAUUGAUACUGUCGGGCUUGAAUGUGGUAGAGGUAGGCGGAAUGUGUAGUGUAGCGGUGAAAUGCUUAGAUAUUACACAGAACACCGAUUGCGAAGGCAGCUUACUAUGCCAUGAUUGACGCUGAGGCACGAAAGCGUGGGGAGCGAACAGGCUUAGAUACCCUAGUAGUC